AUUGAACGCUGGCGGCAGGCCUAACACAUGCAAGUCGAGCGAGCGGCGGACGGGUGCGUAAUACCUAGGAAACUGCCUGAUGGAGGUGGAUAACUACUGGAAACGGUAGCUAAUACCGCAUACCAUCAGAUGUGCCCAGAUGGGAUUAGCUUGUUGGUGGGGUAACGGCUCACCAAGGCGACGAUCCCUAGCUGGUCUGAGAGGAUGACCAGCCACACUGGAAAUGAGAAAAGGUCCAGACGCCUACGGGAGGCAGGAGUGGGGAAUAUUGCACAAUGGGCGCCAGCCUGAUGCAGCCAUGCCGGGUGUAUGAAGAAGGCCUUCGGGUUGUAAAGUACUUUCAGCGGGGAGGCGUUAACCGCAGAAGAAGCACCGGCUAACUCCGUGCCAGCAGCCGCGGUAAUAC
rnacentral:rRNA from 1 species